GACGAACGCUGGCGGCGUGCUUAACACAUGCAAGUCGAACGGAAAGGCCCUGCUUUUGUGGGGUGCUCGAGUGGCGAACGGGUGAGUAACACGUGAGUAACCUGCCCUUGACUUUGGGAUAACUUCAGGAAAACUGGGGCUAAUACCGGAUAGGAGCUCCUGCUGCAUGGUGGGGGUUGGAAAGUUUCGGCGGUUGGGGAUGGACUCGCGGCUUAUCAGCUUGUUGGUGGGGUAGUGGCUUACCAAGGCUUUGACGGGUAGCCGGCCUGAGAGGGUGACCGGCCACAUUGGGACUGAGAUACGGCCCAGACUCCUACGGGAGGCAGCAGUGGGGAAUAUUGCACAAUGGGCGGAAGCCUGAUGCAGCAACGCCGCGUGCGGGAUGACGGCCUUCGGGUUGUAAACCGCUUUCGCCUGUGACGAAGCGUGAGUGACGGUAAUGGGUAAAGAAGCACCGGCUAACUACGUG
rnacentral:rRNA from 1 species